AGUCUUGGGGUGUAACACGUUAGAUUGCAAAUCUAAAGAAGCAGGCUUCGUCUGCCGGGACUU
rnacentral:tRNA from 1 species